rnacentral:rRNA from 1 species
GCUCAGAUUGAACGCUGGCGGCAGGCCUAACACAUGCAAGUCGAGCGGUAGCACAGAGAGCUUGCUCUCGGGUGACGAGCGGCGGACGGGUGAGUAAUGUCUGGGAAACUGCCUGAUGGAGGGGGAUAACUACUGGAAACGGUAGCUAAUACCGCAUAAUGUCGCAAGACCAAAGUGGGGGACCUUCGGGCCUCAUGCCAUCAGAUGUGCCCAGAUGGGAUUAGCUAGUAGGUGGGGUAACGGCUCACCUAGGCGACGAUCCCUAGCUGGUCUGAGAGGAUGACCAGCCACACUGGAACUGAGACACGGUCCAGACUCCUACGGGAGGCAGCAGUGGGGAAUAUUGCACAAUGGGCGCAAGCCUGAUGCAGCCAUGCCGCGUGUGUGAAGAAGGCCUUCGGGUUGUAAAGCACUUUCAGCGGGGAGGAAGGCGUUAAGGUUAAUAACCUUGGCGAUUGACGUUACCCGCAGAAGAAGCACCGGCUAACUCCGUGCCAGCAGCCGCGGUAAUACGGAGGGUGCAAGCGUUAAUCGGAAUUACUGGGCGUAAAGCGCACGCAGGCGGUCUGUCAAGUCGGAUGUGAAAUCCCCGGGCUCAACCUGGGAACUGCAUUCGAAACUGGCAGGCUAGAGUCUUGUAGAGGGGGGUAGAAUUCCAGGUGUAGCGGUGAAAUGCGUAGAGAUCUGGAGGAAUACCGGUGGCGAAGGCGGCCCCCUGGACAAAGACUGACGCUCAGGUGCGAAAGCGUGGGGAGCAAACAGGAUUAGAUACCCUGGUAGUCCACGCCGUAAACGAUGUCGAUUUGGAGGUUGUGCCCUUGAGGCGUGGCUUCCGGAGCUAACGCGUUAAAUCGACCGCCUGGGGAGUACGGCCGCAAGGUUAAAACUCAAAUGAAUUGACGGGGGCCCGCACAAGCGGUGGAGCAUGUGGUAUAAUUCGAUGCAACGCGAAGAACCUUACCUGGUCUUGACAUCCACAGAACUUUCCAGAGAUGGAUUGGUGCCUUCGGGAACUGUGAGACAGGUGCUGCAUGGCUGUCGUCAGCUCGUGUUGUGAAAUGUUGGGUUAAGUCCCGCAACGAGCGCAACCCUUAUCCUUUGUUGCCAGCGGUUAGGCCGGGAACUCAAAGGAGACUGCCAGUGAUAAACUGGAGGAAGGUGGGGAUGACGUCAAGUCAUCAUGGCCCUUACGACCAGGGCUACACACGUGCUACAAUGGCAUAUACAAAGAGAAGCGACCUCGCGAGAGCAAGCGGACCUCAUAAAGUAUGUCGUAGUCCGGAUUGGAGUCUGCAACUCGACUCCAUGAAGUCGGAAUCGCUAGUAAUCGUAGAUCAGAAUGCUACGGUGAAUACGUUCCCGGGCCUUGUACACACCGCCCGUCACACCAUGGGAGUGGGUUGCAAAAGAAGUAGGUAGCUUAACCUUCGGGAGGGCGCUUACCACUUUGUGAUUCAUGACUGGGGUGAAGUCGUAACAAGGU